rnacentral:rRNA from 1 species
GACGAACGCUGGCGGCGUGCUUAACACAUGCAAGUCGAACGGAAAGGCCCUGCUUGCAGGGUACUCGAGUGGCGAACGGGUGAGUAACACGUGGGUGAUCUGCCCUGCGCUUCGGGAAAAGCCUGGGAAACUGGGUCUAAUACCGGAUAGGAGCCAUUUUUAGUGUGAUGGUUGGAAAGUUUUUUCGGUGUAGGAUGGGCUCGCGGCCUAUCAGCUUGUUGGUGGGGUAAUGGCCUACCAAGGCGGCGACGGGUAGCCGGCCUGAGAGGGUGGACGGCCACAUUGGGACUGAGAUACGGCCCAGACUCCUACGGGAGGCAGCAGUGGGGAAUAUUGCACAAUGGGCGCAAGCCUGAUGCAGCGACGCCGCGUGGGGGAUGACGGCCUUCGGGUUGUAAACUCCUUUCGCUAGGGACGAAGCUUUUUGUGACGGUACCUAGAUAAGAAGCACCGGCUAACUACGUG